rnacentral:rRNA from 1 species
AGCGAACGCUGGCGGCAGGCCUAACACAUGCAAGUCGAACGAAGCCUUCGGGCUUAGUGGCGGACGGGUGAGUAACACGUGGGAACGUACCUUUUGGUUCGGAGCAACUCAGGGAAACUUGAGCUAAUACCGGAUGAGCCCUUAGGGGGAAAGAUUUAUCGCCGAAAGAGCGGCCCGCGUUAGAUUAGCUAGUUGGUGAGGUAAAGGCUCACCAAGGCAACGAUCUAUAGCUGGUCUGAGAGGAUGAUCAGCCACACUGGGACUGAGACACGGCCCAGACUCCUACGGGGGGCAGCAGUGGGGAAUCUUGCGCAAUGGGCGAAAGCCUGACGCAGCCAUGCCGCGUGAAUGAUGAAGGUCUUAGGAUUGUAAAAUUCUUUUACCAGGGACGAUAAUGACGGUACCUGGAGAAAAAGCCCCGGCUAACUUCGUGCCAGCCGCCGCGGUAAGAC